AUACUUACCUGCUUGACGGCCCGGAGAUCAAGAGCCCCGGGCCGUGGAGGAGGGGGACCUGCAUUGCACACUGCGGCUGUACCCCUCGCUGUAUGGGGCUAGUCAGGAACCAUACGAGGUCCAAUUUUUGAUGUC
rnacentral:snRNA from 16 species